rnacentral:rRNA from 1 species
GGACCAAGGAGUCUAGCAUGUGCGCGAGUCAUUGGGACUCUGUUAAACCUAAAGGCGCAAUGAAAGUAAAGGUCCGCCUCGCGCGGACCGAGGGAGGAUGAGCCCGUCUCCGGGCGGGCUCCGCACUCCCGGGGCGUCUCGUUCUCAUCGCGAGAAGAGGCGCACCCAGAGCGUACACGCUGGGACCCGAAAGAUGGUGAACUAUGCCUGGUCAGGACGAAGUCAGGGGAAACCCUGAUGGAGGUCCGUAGCGAUUCUGACGUGCAAAUCGAUCGUCGGAACUGGGUAUAGGGGCGAAAGACUAAUCGAACCUUCUAGUAGCUGGUUCCCUCCGAAGUUUCCCUCAGGAUAGCUGGCGCUCGCCUUCGCGAGUCUCAUUCGGUAAAGCGAAUGAUUAGAGGCAUUGGGGUCGAAACGGCCUCAACCUAUUCUCAAACUUUAAAUGGGUGAGAUCUCCGGCUUGCUUGAAGCGUGAAGCCGCGAGAUAUCGGAUCAGAGUGCCAAGUGGGCCACUUUUGGUAAGCAGAACUGGCGCUGUGGGAUGAACCAAACGCCGAGUUAAAGCGCCGAAAUCGACGCUUAUGGGAUACCAUGAAAGGCGUUGGUAACUUAAGACAGCAGGACGGUGGCCAUGGAAGUCGGA